CCAUCCAUCCCCACCGCCACCUUAUCCCCCUUGUCCACCACCAGUCCAUCUCAGAGAAACAAUGGGGAGGUGAACCCCUUCGACACUUGUCGAUGCCCCAUGGACAUGGGUGAUGAAAACUCUCGUGGAACCCUUCCACUGCCGCUGCUGCUGUAGCAUCAUGCACAAAAAACUGGCGUUGUGCCACCAGCUGAAAGAAGCACAACUGAAGCUUUCUCGUGCCGGUCACCU
rnacentral:lncRNA from 1 species